rnacentral:rRNA from 1 species
AUUGAACGCUGGCGGCAUGCCUUACACAUGCAAGUCGAACGGCAGCGCGGACUUCGGUCUGGCGGCGAGUGGCGAACGGGUGAGUAAUACAUCGGAACGUACCCUGUUGUGGGGGAUAACUAGUCGAAAGAUUAGCUAAUACCGCAUACGACCUGAGGGUGAAAGUGGGGGAUCGCAAGGCCUCACGCAGCAGGAGCGGCCGAUGUCUGAUUAGCUAGUUGGUGGGGUAGAGGCCCACCAAGGCGACGAUCAGUAGCUGGUCUGAGAGGACGACCAGCCACACUGGGACUGAGACACGGCCCAGACUCCUACGGGAGGCAGCGGUGGGGAAUUUUGGACGAUGGGGGCAACCCUGCUCCAGCAGUGCCGCGUGUGUGAAGAAGGCCUUCGGGUUGUAAAGCACUUUUGUCGGGAAAGAAAGCGCGCUGGUUAAUACCUGGCGUGGAUGACGGUACCGGAAGAAGAAGCACCGGCUAACUACGUG